rnacentral:rRNA from 1 species
GACGAACGCUGGCGGCGUGCUUAACACAUGCAAGUCGAACGAAGUGGCGAACGGGUGCGUAAUACGUGGGUACCCUGCCUUCCUUUUUGGGAUAAGCCUUGGAAACGGGGUCUAAUACCGAAUAACGGGGGUUGGGCUCGCGGCCUAUCAGCUUGUUGGUGGGGAGAUGGCCUACCAAGGAGGUGACGGGGAGCCGGCCUGAGAGGGUGACCGGCAACAUUGGGACUGAGAUACGGCCAAGACUGCUACAGGAGGCAGCAGUGGGGGAUAUUGCGCAAUGGGCGAAAGCCUGAGGCAGCGACGCAGCGGGGGGGAUGAAGGCUUUCGGGUUGUACACCUCUUUCGCUAUGGAACGGGUAGGUAGAGAGGAAGCGCCGGCUAACUACGUGCCAGCAGCCGCGGUAAUAC